GAGCCAAAGGGCGAUGGGGUUCGCCGUAUAACCGCCUCUGGGCUGAUGACUCCUGAAUGACC
rnacentral:ncRNA from 1 species